CGGGACACGUGGUAUCCUGUCUGAAUAUGGGGGGACCAUCCUCCAAGGCUAAAUACUCCUGACUGACCGAUAGUGAACCAGUACCGUGAGGGAAAGGCGAAAAGAACCCCGGCGAGGGGAGUGAAAAAGAACCUGAAACCGUGUACGUACAAGCAGUGGGAGCCUCUUAAUGGGGUGACUGCGUACCUUUUGUAUAAUGGGUCAGCGACUUAUAUUCUGUAGCAAGGUUAACCGAAUAGGGGAGCCGAAGGGAAACCGAGUCUUAACUGGGCGUUAAGUUGCAGGGUAUAGACCCGAAACCCGGUGAUCUAGCCAUGGGCAGGUUGAAGGUUGGGUAACACUAACUGGAGGACCGAACCGACUAAUGUUGAAAAAUUAGCGGAUGACUUGUGGCUGGGGGUGAAAGGCCAAUCAAACCGGGAGAUAGCUGGUUCUCCCCGAAAGCUAUUUAGGUAGCGCCUCGUGAAUUCAUCUCCGGGGGUAGAGCACUGUUUCGGCAAGGGGGUCAUCCCGACUUACCAACCCGAUGCAAACUGCGAAUACCGGAGAAUGUUAUCACGGGAGACACACGGCGGGUGCUAACGUCCGUCGUGAAGAGGGAAACAACCCAGACCGCCAGCUAAGGUCCCAAAGUCAUGGUUAAGUGGGAAACGAUGUGGGAAGGCCCAGACAGCCAGGAUGUUGGCUUAGAAGCAGCCAUCAUUUAAAGAAAGCGUAAUAGCUCACUGGUCGAGUCGGCCUGCGCGGAAGAUGUAACGGGGCUAAACCAUGCACCGAAGCUGCGGCAGCGACACUAUGUGUUGUUGGGUAGGGGAGCGUUCUGUAAGCCUGUGAAGGUGGCCUGUGAGGGUUGCUGGAGGUAUCAGAAGUGCGAAUGCUGACAUAAGUAACGAUAAAGCGGGUGAAAAGCCCGCUCGCCGGAAGACCAAGGGUUCCUGUCCAACGUUAAUCGGGGCAGGGUGAGUCGACCCCUAAGGCGAGGCCGAAAGGCGUAGUCGAUGGGAAACAGGUUAAUAUUCCUGUACUUGGUGUUACUGCGAAGGGGGGACGGAGAAGGCUAUGUUGGCCGGGCGACGGUUGUCCCGGUUUAAGCGUGUAGGCUGGUUUUCCAGGCAAAUCCGGAAAACCAAGGCUGAGGCGUGAUGACGAGGCACUACGGUGCUGAAGCGACAAAUGCCCUGCUUCCAGGAAAAGCCUCUAAGCAUCAGGUAACAUCAAAUCGUACCCCAAACCGACACAGGUGGUCAGGUAGAGAAUACCAAGGCGCUUGAGAGAACUCGGGUGAAGGAACUAGGCAAAAUGGUGCCGUAACUUCGGGAGAAGGCACGCUGAUAUGUAGGUGAAGCGACUUGCUCGUGGAGCUGAAAUCAGUCGAAGAUACCAGCUGGCUGCAACUGUUUAUUAAAAACACAGCACUGUGCAAACACGAAAGUGGACGUAUACGGUGUGACGCCUGCCCGGUGCCGGAAG
rnacentral:rRNA from 1 species